GCUAUGCGUAAAACGUGCGGGGAUGAGAACCUGCCGCAGGUUCGACUGAAUCGCAAAGCGAUUCAGGCUGAUGCGCCAGCAUCACCCGCAGGGCGAGGCCCACCAGGCCGAGGCAAUCCUGCACGAGCCACCA
rnacentral:sRNA from 1 species